UACGUAGGGGGCAAGCGUUGUCCGGAAUCAUUGGGCGUAAAGCGCGUGUAGGCGGCUCGGUAAGUCCGCUCUGAAAGUCCAGGGCUCAACCCUGGGAUGCGGGUGGAUACUGCCGGGCUCGAGUCCGGAAGAGGCGAGUGGAAUUCCCGGUGUAGCGGUGGAAAUGCGUAGAUAUCGGGAGGAACACCAGUGGCGCAAGCGAUCACCUGGGCUAGACCUGACGCUGAGGGACGAAAGCGUGGGGAGCAAACGGG
rnacentral:rRNA from 1 species